rnacentral:rRNA from 1 species
AUUGAACGCUGGCGGCAUGCCUUACACAUGCAAGUCGAGCGGAAAGGCCCUUCGGGGUACUCGAGCGGCGAACGGGUGAGUAACACGUGAGUAACCUGCCCUAGACUUUGGGAUAACCCUCGGAAACGGGGGCUAAUACCGGAUACUCCUUGAGCUUCGCAUGAGGUUUUUGGGAAAGUUUUUCGGUCUGGGAUGGACUCGCGGCCUAUCAGCUUGUUGGUGGGGUAAUGGCCUACCAAGGCGACGACGGGUAGCCGGCCUGAGAGGGCGACCGGCCACACUGGGACUGAGACACGGCCCAGACUCCUACGGGAGGCAGCAGUGGGGAAUAUUGCACAAUGGGCGGAAGCCUGAUGCAGCGACGCCGCGUGAGGGAUGACGGCCUUCGGGUUGUAAACCUCUUUCAGCAGGGACGAAGCGAGAGUGACGGUACCUGCAGAAGAAGCACCGGCCAACUACGUGCCAGCCGCCGCAGUAA